CCUACGGGAGGCAGCAGUGGGGAAUUUUGGACAAUGGGCGCAAGCCUGAUCCAGCCAUGCCGCGUGUGGGAAGAAGGCCUUCGGGUUGUAAACCACUUUUGUCAGGGAAGAAACGGCUUUUUCUAAUACAGAGAGCUAAUGACGGUACCUGAAGAAUAAGCACCGGCUAACUACGUGCCAGCAGCCGCGGUAAUACGUAGGGUGCAAGCGUUAAUCGGAAUUACUGGGCGUAAAGCGUGCGCAGGCGGCUUUGCAAGACAGAUGUGAAAUCCCCGGGCUCAACCUGGGAACUGCAUUUGUGACUGCAUGGCUAGAGUACGGUAGAGGGGGAUGGAAUUCCGCGUGUAGCAGUGAAAUGCGUAGAUAUGCGGAGGAACACCGAUGGCGAAGGCAAUCCCCUGGACCUGUACUGACGCUCAUGCACGAAAGCGUGGGGAGCAAACAGGAUUAGAUACCCUGGUAGUCCACGCCCUAAACGAUGUCAACUGGUUGUUGGACGGCUUGCUGUUCAGUAACGAAGCUAACGCGUGAAGUUGACCGCCGNGGGAGGACGGCCGCGAGGUUAGUAACGUUAAAGUAGUAGUAGACGGCGUAGAGACGACGACGACGGACGACGACGGAGGGAGGAGG
rnacentral:rRNA from 1 species